rnacentral:rRNA from 1 species
ACUCCUACGGGAGGCAGCAGUGGGGAAUCUUGGACAAUGGGGGCAACCCUGAUCCAGCCAUGCCGCGUGAGUGAUGAAGGCCUUAGGGUCGUAAAGCUCUUUCGCCUGUGAAGAUAAUGACGGUAGCAGGUAAAGAAACCCCGGCUAACUCCGUGCCAGCAGCCGCGGUAAUACGGAGGGGGUUAGCGUUGUUCGGAAUUACUGGGGCGUAAAGCGCACGUAGGCGGAUCGGAAAGUUGGGGGUGAAAUCCCCGGGGCUCAACCCCGGAACGGCCUCCAAAACUAUCGGUCUAGAGUUCGAGAGAGGUGAGUGGAAUUCCGAGUGUAGAGGUGAAAUUCGUAGAUAUUCGGAGGAACACCAGUGGCGAAGGCGGCUCACUGGCUCGAUACUGACGCUGAGGUGCGAAAGUGUGGGGAGCAAACAGGAUUAGAUACCCUGGUAGGACAGUG